GGCGAACGGGUGAGUAAUACAUCGGAACGUACCCAGUAGCGGGGGAUAACCUGUCGAAAGAUAGGCUAAUACCGCAUACGACCUACGGGUGAAAGCGGGGGAUCGCAAGACCUCGCACUAUUGGAGCGGCCGAUGUCGGAUUAGCUAGUUGGCGGGGUAACGGCCCACCAAGGCGACGAUCCGUAGCUGGUCUGAGAGGACGACCAGCCACACUGGAACUGAGACACGGUCCAGACUCCUACGGGAGGCAGCAGUGGGGAAUUUUGGACAAUGGGGGAAACCCUGAUCCAGCCAUGCCGCGUGGGUGAAGAAGGCCUUCGGGUUGUAAAGCCCUUUCGGCGGAGACGAAAAGGUUCGCGCUAACACCGCGGAUUAAUGACGGUAUCCGCAGAAGAAGCACCGGCUAACUACGUGCCAGCAGCCGCGGUAAUACGUAGGGUGCGGGCGUUAAUCGGAAUUACUGGGCGUAAAGCGUGCGCAGGCGGUUUGUUAAGACAGAUGUGAAAUCCCCGGGCUUAACCUGGGAACUGCGUUUGUUACUGGCAAGCUGGAGUGUGGCAGAGGGGGGUGGAAUUCC
rnacentral:rRNA from 1 species